rnacentral:lncRNA from 1 species
GCGGAAGGCAGACUUUGGGAGAACUGAGCCUUGGCAUGUGGAGGAGAAGCAGUUGGGAGGUCCUGGUGCAGAGAAGGUGCUUCCUGUGAACCUCUUCUGAUCCACCCUUGAUUUUCAGCAUCUGUGCCUUAAGUAGGAAGCUCUUGAGGCUCCAAGGGAUUGCCAUGGCAACUGCCUACCCCUCCAAGAUCACAAAGCAGGUCCCUUUGCAGCCUCCAUGAACUUAACAUUAGUAAAUGAAUGAGAGGACUUGGCCGGUGGAGGCAGGAUUUGGAGAAGAAAUAAGGCAGGUAGUCACUGACUGCUAAACUCCUGAGCGCUGUAUCUAUGAAUUGCAAACUGUGAUCCCAUUUUCCCUGCAAAGAAGGCUCCUCUCCCUUCCUCCUGUCUUCCUUUUGUUUUUUUCCCAUCCAUCUUUUUGAUUAUUUGGAAGCUAACUCUGAAUUAUUCGCUGAAAGUCAACAUUUGGUUCCUAUAAGUCUUCUUUUUAGAACAAACUCAUCCAACCAAGAUUCAUCAAGGUGUGAAGAUGCCAAAGACAUUUGCUGUGUUGUCUCUUCCACCAAAAUUCACUUGAGGUUUCUAAGCAUCGUGGACCGAAUGUUUGUGUCUCCCUCAAAUGCGUGUGUUGAAGCCGUACUCACUGAUGCCAUAGUAUUAAGAGGUGAGGCCUUUGAGGGGUAAUUAGGGUUAGAGGAGGUCAUCGUGGGAUUGGUGUGUCCUUAUAAAAAGAGACCAGAGACCUUGCCCUCUCUCUCUCUCUCUGCCACGUGAGGACACAGCG